AAGUAGAGGGACUAAAAUGGUUAAGAUGAGAAAAUGAGUUUUUAUUAAUUAAAACUAAAAACACCAAAACACACACCUUUGUGUGUGUUCUGGUCGUACAAAACACAGGAGCCAAGAAGGGCUCUCAAGCUCAAACCCUAACAAGCAUAAAAUCAACAAAUUGAAGGGGUAAAUCCAACCUAAAUCGAAAUCCAAGCACGAAUUCAUGAUCACCUCGAUGAAGGGAUCAUAAGUUUGACUCUUGACAAGCUAGAUGGAGGCUUGGGGAAAGAAGCGGGUCAAACGGAUCGUAUACGCGGAAAAGAGCAUAAUCCGGAUACUAGGAAUAAAUAUCGAUUGAAUGUUGACAUCGCUAUUACUUAGCGGCUACUAAGGCAAGGUAUCGAAACGGGUCAAUAUAUUGAUCCGAGCCAGGUUUGUAUAAUGAUUCAACUCGUCAUGUAGAACUUGAGGUUCUAUAAGUGUUAGACAAGGAUAAAAUAUAGAUAUUCGGUUAUCAUUAAGGUAAACCGAAUAAAUUGGGUCAUGAUUAUGGUAUUUUAGAAACAUAAUGGUUUCUAAACAAGAUUAUAGUUUUAAAAGUGAGAUUUUGGUCGAACAUGGCUUUAAAGGUCCUUCGUCGUAAUAGGAGGGGUAAAAGUGACCAAAAUGCCCUUAUAAGUGAAAUUAAGCAAACGAUCCCUAAAGGUUGCUUAGAAAUGAGUUUUGUAACCAAAUAGAUACUUGUAUUAAGUAUAAAAAGUGAAAUAUGUGAAUCUUUGGGUCAAAUGACUCUAUAUGAGUCUUUGCCGUAAAAUGAUAAUCCGAGGGGUAAAACUCGGAAUAAAUAGAUCUCCACAUUAAAUCCUCCACACAUAUAGUUGUGGUGGAAGAUAAAUUGAUAAAUAAUAUGGAAGUACAAUGCUAGAAGUGAAUGGGUAUGAAUUAUGCGGUAAAAGUGCUUAAAUACCCUUAACGGGUCAAAAUAAGCUUCUAAGUCAAAACGGGUUAAAGAAGGUAUACAAACCCGUUAUUUUGAGCCUAAUAUAAUAGGAGAUAUUGAAAUUAUGAAGUUCAUGGGUUUAAAGAUCAAAUAGGCAUGUUUGUUUGAUAAAAUCACGAACGGGUCAAAAUUUGGUAAAAAGGGUAAUAAGCCAAAGAUUUAAAAGUCUUAAAUUUUUGUUAAUCCGGAUGUCGGAUUUUAACUCCAUAUGAUGGAGAAUUAAAUUACGGAUGCGUAGGAAAAAGAAUCGUGUAAAACGGAUUAAAAACGAGAGAGUUAUGUCCGUUUCGGUAAGAACUAAUGAAAAAUAGACGUGCAGAGUUGACACGGGCGGGUGACUUUUUGACACGGCCGGGUGGCUGGGCUGUGAAAAAUAUACGUUAACUGACACGGCCGGGUGACUUUUUGACACGGCCGGGUGAAGGGGCUGAAAACAAAACAAAAAUAAUUUCUUGUUUUGUUACGUUAAGCACGGAACUUGUUUAUACUCGAUUAUUAAAGUGUCAAAACUAAUUAUUUACAUGGUUUUGACCGUAGGUGAAGAUGGACCUAAUCCGGAUGAAGAUCAAGCGGCGAGCAAGAACCGAACACACGUUAAAUGAAGCUUCCGCGUAAAAUCUUGAUUUGUGUUGAUAUAAGUGAAUUAUGUAAACACUUAUAAAUUGUUUUUGAAAUGUUGUAAUCAUUUGGGAAUGUUGGUAUAACAAGUUUUGUAAAGACACAUUUUAGCAUAAAAAUUUGUAUCUUUUAUUAAAAUAUUAAUAAAACCAGACGGGCGUUACACAA